rnacentral:rRNA from 1 species
UAGCGUAGGGGGCAAGCGUUGUCCGGAUUUAUUGGGCGUAAAGAGCGUGUAGGCGGUUCGGAUAGGUCCGUUGUGAAACUCGAGCUCAACCUCGAAGCACGCCGAUGGAAACCCCCGAACUAGAAGUCCGGAAGAGGAGGAGUUCGGAAUUCCCGGUGUAGCGGUAGAAAUGCGCAGAUAGUCGGGAAGAACACCCGUGGCGAAGGCGGCUCACUGGCUCAUUACUGACGCUCAGGCGCGAUAGCGUGGGGAUCAAACAGG